rnacentral:pre_miRNA from 9 species
CCAGGUUGAGGUAGUAGGUUGUAUAGUUUAGAAUUACAUCAAGGGAGAUAACUGUACAGCCUCCUAGCUUUCCCUGG